rnacentral:sRNA from 1 species
GGGCCUUCUUAUUAGAGAGUUGGCAUACUAGUGUCGCAGAGAGAACGACUGGAAUGGUAUGCGCACAGACCUACAGAUAUGAAGCGACUUUGCCUGGUUAUUCUUUUCCUUCCCUUGCUAAUCGCACUUUAUCCUGUUGAUGGCAAAGUUCUGGAAAAUCAGACUGUCCACUUCAAUAAUUCCAUAGUAUACAGAACAAGACAACCCAUCGAGUUCAAAAUAACUGCUCAGACUGACUUGACCAUUUCCAAUGACCAGAUUACAGUUACUCUGUUUUACUCAGACGGUAGUGAGAGUCAGUACGACACAGCAGCAUCGGAAUUAAGCAAUCUGAACACCACAGCUCCAUGUCUCCAUUCGUACUUCCACCAGGGGAACUACUUCGUAUAUGGAUUGUUGUCAUAUAAUGGAACCAAUUAUUUCACUCCAAGGAAAACAGUUUACAUCUGGGAUCCAUUAACAAUGGAACUGUCAGCAAAAGAUUUCGCAGCCGUGAACGAGCAGAUUCAAAUUUCCUUUACUUCGUCUCCGUAUUGGAACGUUUAUUACGUCAUUGACUUUGGAGAUAAAAACGCCAUUCAAAACACAGCGGGAUCUUUCCAAGACCAAUUCGUGCCCAGUACCAUUGCUCAUUCCUAUGUAGCUCUUGGACUUUAUAAUAUAACGCUUAGGGCUUGGAACUCGAUGUAUACGCACUUUCACAGCAAAAUGAUAAGGAUAGAGCAUCCCAUACCUACUGGAAGUUUGUCUAUUUCCCCAACAACUGAAUAUAUCCCUUAUCCUGACGGCAAAGUCAUUUUAACCCUACACUACUCAUCAAUGAAUCAGGACCCUACAAGUGUAAAGUGUAAAUUUAACUAUGGAGAUGGAGAAGAAACGCUUGCUGUAAAUUUAACGAAUAAUUCUCGAGUUGAACGGACUCACUAUUAUCAGGCAACAGGCACUAUGAAUGUGGUAUUCACGUGCACCAAUGGUAUAUCCGAGCAAGCUGUACACGCAACAAUGUAUGUAGAAUCAUACUCAUUAUCCGACUUUAGUUUUAGUUAUCCAAAUCCCGUUUUAAUGAGUAUGGAAUUAGAACCAGUCAUUCCAACAUCCGAAUAUAGGCAUUUUUACAAAUCCGUCACAAUUCCUGUUACUGUAACAUUUACCAUUUCAAUGAAAAACUUUAAAAAAUUUCCGCCCGGUUUAUCAGUUACUUGGGAUUUCAAAGACGGAGCACCUCCCGAAACUUUCCAGUUGGUGUCACCCCAAGUAACACACACUUUUUCCAGCAAACGUGGGACCUAUGCCAUGGUUAUCAAAAUAGAAUCCGUAAAGAGUGUGAAAACAUAUAUCCGUUACAUAACAUUAGGGGUGAUACAAUUCUCGUGUUAUUCUCAAAGGUUUGAUUUGCGGGACACCUAUGUAUAUCUAUAUGCACAAGGUAUAUAUGGUUCUCCUUCCUAUUUCUUGAACGUCGACACCGAUUCUCACACUGACGUAUAUUCAUAUACAUAUAACGUAAAUUAUUAUAUGAAUGGAACUUAUUUCACUUUUAAGUACAUGAUGUAUGGGUUCUACUUUCCAUCCGUCUAUGCAGUACAUGCAAACGGAGAAAGGGAAACGGUGUUUCUUGACCAGUUUCUUAUAGCAGACCUUUCCGUAGAAGACAGUUUGAGUCUCAUCGUUCAGCCCAAACAGAUACCUCUUCCCCCAGGAUACGCCGAACUUAAAGUAAUAUCAUCUUCAUAUACCACACGACCAUUUGUUACAUGUGAAAUGAAACCAGGGGAUGCAGUUGAUCGCGAUAGUGUUUACGUUAAAACACAGAAUAUAUCAUCUACCGAACCAUUGGUUUUCAAAUAUGUUUACACCAGCCUUGGAGCAAAUGCUGUUACAAUAAAUUGUUCAAACUACAUAUCUGUCAAAACUAUGACAGAAGUAGCAACUACGGUAAAUACCUGUUUUGACCCUCAUGGUAUUUUUGAUCGUCAGCAUUCAAUACCAACCAAUCCAUUGAAAGUCUUCUCUGCAUACGAUCUUUACAUUUCAAAUCGAAUGAACAUACUCUGCCAAGACGAAAAUGCUUAUUUUGAAUGGAAUUUGUUCCAAACGGACAACACCAACACCAUUGGUUUACCCAUUGAUUAUGAAAAUCCUUUGAAGGAAGGUCAAGGUAGAUUCCUAAUAAAAAGAAAAUCAUUUACAGAUGGACUGUACAACUUAACUCUCAAUGUGACACUUAGUACCACUUGGAUUUCGGAAUACAUGUUUAUUCAAUUCCAUAGCUCGUAUCCCUUUGCUUACAUAGUAGGAGGUGAUUACGUCAUUGGAUCAAAGGAUAUGACGUUCGAUGCUUUAGCUGAAUCACGAAUGGAUUACCAAAUCUUCGGAGGAAACGAAAACUUAACCUUUUCAUGGAAAUGUACCAGAAUUUCACGUGUACAACUUACUCAAACUGAAAUAAUCAUUAAUGAAACACCGCUGAGUACGUGUUCCUUCAAAGAAAUAUCACAUGGGGUUGUUCAGCUGAGUUCCGGAAUUUUAACUGACUAUGAGUAUGCUGUUACAGUGACAGUGCACCAGGGAUCUUCCCAGAGAACUUUUACACAGAUUGCAUCAAUUACCGAGGAGGGACCAACAUUAGCUAUCAACUGUAGCCUUAAUUGCAACAACAAAGUUGCUAUAUCAUCAAAGGUUGCAUUAGUGGCUUGGUGUCAAUCAUGUGUACAAGAGGAGGCUAUUAAGUAUGACUGGACAAUAUGGGAAGAAUUAAAUGGAAAAUAUCAUGUAUUUCAGCUGUCUGCAGAUUUACAUGAAAACGAUACAACGAGUAAAAAAGAAGCUUUCGUGAUAUCCAGCAACGUUUUAAAUCCUGGUAAGAAGUACAUUGUGACAUUAUUUGUCACAACGGGCAACGAAACAGAACAAGAAGGCAUGGUGUACAGAAGAAUACACACAAACGUGCCACCUACCGAUGGAAUUUGUUCCGUUACAUUACAAACAGAUAUUGUAUCACCAAUCUUAAGCGUUAAUUGCUCAAACUGGAUCGACCCUGAUGACAGUUUACAAACAUUGGUAUACCUGUUUGAAACAGUAAUACGCAGAAACCUGACACACGGCGAAGAUGAUGUUGUCACAAUUAUAUACGAAGGAAGUGAAAGUGGCAUUGCUGAUGUGCCUAUUCAGGCCGGGGAUCCAGUUUUUGGCUAUGUUGUGACUGUCAGAGUGCGAGUCUUUGAUAUCUAUGGAGAUUACGGAACCUUUACGAAAAACAUAACGGUGUAUCCUCCAUACUAUCCUACGGACGAAUCUUCUAUUGAGGCAUCAUUUGUUCACUUUGAUAAAAAGUUUAGCGAGCAUUAUUUGUCAGGAAAUGACAUACAAACACUGUGUUUCAUUGGAGCAGUGGCUUCCUGUUUCAAGCAGUUCCCUUACAAAGAAAAUACCACACGCGAAGAAGAUGUGCUUCGAGGAGUCGAGUCUAUCUUUAUUGAUGAUACGCAUGGAGGACCUAUAUUUUUAAACUAUCAAAAAAAGGUAAUAAAGCUAAUGCGACUAGUAGAAAAGAUCAUCACACCUGGUUGCAACAACUCACAAGGAAGAUUCAACUUAGCAGACUUACAGGUCAUAUACAGCACUCUUGAUGCACUGACUCGUUACCAGCCUUACCUCACACUGGAAGCUGUGAACGUUACAACAUAUAUCAUAAAAUUAUCGAUGGGGUGUUUGGAAUAUGGAGCAAGAGAUCCUCUUUCGGUAGACUCUGUGGACAAACUGACAUUAGUGGGUAAAGUUUUUCAUCGAGUAUUGGAUAAUGUAUUAAACAAGAUGUUGCCACAAAAACUCCAAAACUUGGAUGAGGAACUUUCAGAAGAAGACAUCAGAACAGAACUUAUUUUGAAAAUCACUCGAUUUCUGCAAGAAGCAUCAUUAUUAAAACAAAAGCAAGAAAAUAUAUCUUUAGAUCACCGACUCAUCAAUACUCAAGCCUCCAAUUUGUAUAAAAUCAGAGAACACGAGCGAUCCAAGCAGAUUGAUCAGCGUGAAAUGGCAAGAAUAAACAUUCCUGUUAUUCUAAACAGUCUCCGUGACUUUGUUAAAGUUUUGGAGAAAAUCGUCGCACUAGGAGAGCGAAUCUUUCUUGAUGGACUUCACGUGCUUGAACUCAUGAUUAGAAAAGUAUCAGUCAACAGUCUGUCGGUGACUAUAGAUCCGUUUUUUGCUGGGAUCAAUCAAGGAAAUGGUUCCGUGCAACACUCUACCUACUUGACAUUAUCGGUCAUUAACUUUCUGAAGAAUCCUUUUAUAUACGGUGAGAAUGCAUCUCUUGCCACUUCUUCCGUGCCCGUCAUAGAAAUACCACAGAACACAUCAGUAGACUCCAUUAUUCCGAAUAAUCAGAAGCCAAAGUACGAAAAAUACAUUCCAUUAAUGAACCCAGCAUUUUCAGAACAAAUGAUAUUUUUCUCAUUUGAUGUCAUAAACGAUGAAGAUGCUGGCCUUUUAUAUUUAAAACCCGAUGAUUUAGAUGUGUCCAACCAAGAAAACAAUACUUUAUACUCGUUUUACUUCGGUUCCACAACUUUUCCAACAUCUAGUAGAUAUGAUUAUAUUAAAGAGUUAGGAAUAAGAGAUUGGACUAAUUACGGUUUUAAAGUCUUCUUACCAGGAGGAGUUUGUGGAAAAGGAAUUUGUUUUCUUGGAAUCAAACCACUUACAGUAACAAAAGCUUUAGGUGUGCUGAAAUCAAGGAAGAGACGAUCAUUAGGAAACACCAGCGCUAAUGAAACUACUACUAAUACGACAACAUUAGAUUUUGUUCCCGCGAAAGCUAACUUUAGCAUAAUAAUCAUAACAACCGGAUGUAGAACAUGGGAUAAUGACAAUAAUUCAUGGACAAUGGACGGUUGCACAGUUCUUCCAAUGAGUGAUUUAAACAACACUCUGUGUCGGUGUAUAGGAGAUACUUUUUCAUCUUCGUUCUAUGUCCCUCCAAACGUCAUCAAUUUCCUUACAGUUUGGGGCAAAUUUGACGCAUCAAACGCAUCGGUGUAUGGAACACUGAUCGGCGUCUUUUUAAUUUAUUUGGUGUUGGUAAUCUUGCUACGAAAACAAGAUAGAAAGGAUUCAGAAAAGUGGGCAGUGUCAUUUCUCUCGGAUCAUAAAACAUCAGAUGUAUACUUCUAUUUGAUAAGUGUUUAUACUGGGCUACGAAAAGGAGCUGGUACAAAAUCAAAUGUAUACUUUAUGGUGACGGGAGAGCAAUGCGAUACAGGAAUUCGUGUCUUGAAUGAUGGAAGAAAAAAGGAAUUCACUACAUCGAGCGUAAACACAUUUUUCUUUGGAACAACGGAACCUUUAGGAGAUUUAUUGUAUUUACGAAUAUGGCAUGACAACACUGGACCACUUGGACUUCAAAGUUGGUUUCUAAGCAAAAUAAUUAUCGACGACUUGCAGAGCAGAGAAAGGUAUUGCUUCUAUUGCAACAAAUGGCUGGCUAUUGAUGAUGGAGAUUGUACUCUUGAUCGCAUUAUUCCAGUAUCGACAGCAAAUAAUAUUUCUCUCAAAACACGUCUUUCUGACGAAACACAGACUCAAAUUACGGAACACCAUUUAUGGUUAUCACUGCUCCUUCGUCCACGACAAAGUAAAUUCACACGUGUUCAAAGACUUUCGUGCUUACUGGCUCUCUUAUGUCUGAUAAUGAUAUCAAAUGCUAUGUUUUUCCGAUCCUCCGACGAGAACCAAAAUGUAGACCAGGUGAAGUUUGGAAUUCUUAAAAUUUCUAUGUCGACGUUUUUUAUAUCCAUUAUAGGAAUUUUGAUAUCUAACCCACCUAUUAUUUUCGCUUCAUUUGUAUUUAGUCACAUUAACAACGAACAAUCUACCAAACGGAACUAUUCCAAAUUGACUAGAACAUGUGAAAAAGAUGACAGUCACUUUACUAAGAUUGACGCCUCAGAAAUUGAUGUUUUCCAACAAAAAAAUGACAAGUUUCCACAUUGGCUAUACUAUGUUGCUUGGAUAAUUUUAGCGUUGGCCGUGUUAUCAUCCUGUUUUUUCUUAAUUUUGUACAGUAUGGAAUGGGGUAAUGCAAAAUCAGAGGAAUGGAUCUCUUCUUUCGUUUUCUCUGUAGUGGAAUCCUUGGCUAUAGUCGAUCCCAUAAAAGUUCUCAUUUUAGCAAUCACUUUUACAACAGUAUUGAAGAAUAUGAUGCAAGAGGACGCGCCUAGGGUUAAUCUACAAAAAGUACGAUCAUUUGCUAUGGUGCCAAAUAAGUAUCAAGAGACAAACAUUUCAGAUUUAACAAAUUACGUUUUACCAACAUAUGAUAUACUCUCCAAAGAAGAAAUUAAAGAGUUAAGGAAAAAAUGUCAUGAUGAAUCCCAAGCAAAAGCAGCUCUUAGGAACCUUAUAUUUUUUACCAUAUACAUCAUCGCUAUUUACUUGAUUAGCUACAAGGAACGCGACCAACGGUCUUUUUAUUUAAAGCAGAACUUAGAAAACUAUCUUCUUACUGGAAAACAAGGAUUCUCAACUAUAAAAAACCAAAGUGGUUUUUAUAAAUGGUUGAAUAACACCUUCAUCCAAGCAUAUUAUCCCAUCAAUAACUAUGCAAACGAGCCAUUGACAGUCGUGGAUCGUCAAUGGUUUCAAGAUAUGGCGAGUAUUCGUGUUGGACCUGCCCGGCUGCGACAAGUUCGAAUGAAGUCAACUCCUUGCAAAUAUUCAAAGUUGCUAGAAAGUUAUCCAUGCAUAGAGACUUAUUCGGAAGAAGACGAAGACCAGAGCUCAUAUUGCUUACAGUGGAAGCUUUACAAUAAAAGUGUUUGCGGGUCUGAAAUUUAUAAAAGACGUUUCUACACAGCUGAUUCAUGGACGUAUACUGACGCUCGUGAUAUUUGGGGAAUAUCCCGAAUGGGAGAGUACAGAACAUACAGCGGAGGCGGAUACAUUUUGAAUAUUUCAGCAGUUCGAGCUGAGACUACCGGAGCCGCAACUUCUCUAGGAAUGUUGCACAUCGUAGAAAAUUCAAUCAGAAACUUCAUUGAGAGUGUCUUCAAACUCAAACAGAGAGAAAAAUCAGAAAAGUAUGCAGGUAACUCAUCAAAAAAGGAGAUCAAUGCUGUCAACGUCAUGACGUUAAUUCGAGAUAUUGUCACCAUUUAUGGGAAUGAAGAACUAAAGUCGAUAAAGAAAAGCAAUGGUACCGACGAAGAAACAUGUCAUCUGAUAUCAGAGGCAACCUCAAUUUCUCUCAAAAUUGAUUCUUCUAAUGGUCGUGACCUGUCGAGAGAGAACAACGAUGGAGAUGCUUUCAAAGACAGAGCCAUCUCUCGAUUUGGCGCUGUAUCCACAUCAAGUGUAGACUUUGUGUUACAUGAUUCGGACGACUCAAGCAAAUACAUUCCAAUACAAAAUUUGGCGAUGCUUUAGAAAUACAUUAGUGGACAUUACAUUUCCUUUUUAUUUUCACAUAUAAUAUUUUGAAUUUUAAGGUCACCUGAGUCACUCAGUUGACCUAUUGCAAUUGGUUUUCGUCCGUCAUCGUGCGUCGUUUGUCGUGCGUUAACGAUUUUACAUUUUUAACUUUUGGGUCAUUUGUUACCAUGUUUAGGUCACCUGAGUCACUCAGGUAACCAAUUGCUAUCUGUUUUUUGUCCGUCGUCGUUAGUCGUUCGUCAAUCGUCGUACGUCGGUCGUAAUUUUUUAAACAUGUUAGCUUCUUUUAUGGAAUCACUAAACCGAUUUCAGCCAUAAUUGGCAUAUACAUGUAGCAUUUUUGGGGUAAAGGGGAGUAAAAAUUGUGAAAUUCAUGGCCCCUUCAAGGAAACUUCCUAAAGAGGCCACAAUAUAUGUACCUUUUUACGUUUGUUUCCCUGCAGUGAGCUUCAGCCCACAACGCUAAACAUUUCAGCAGCUAAAUUUUAACACUAUGAUGCAUGAUCUCAUAAUUCUUAGUUUUUGCACUAAAAUAAAUUAUUUAAGGUUAUAAGGUAAGAAAAUCUAAUCUAGUUGUUCAAUGAAAAACUUUUAUUGAAUUUCUACAGAUAAUAUACCCCCCCCCC